rnacentral:rRNA from 1 species
CCUACGGGAGGCAGCAGUGGGGAAUAUUGCACAAUGGGCGAAAGCCUGACGCAGCGACGCCGCGUGAGGGAUGAAGGUCCUCGGAUCGUAAACCUCUGUCAGCAGGGAAGAACGGUCACUGUGCUAAUCAGCAGUGAAUUGACGGUACCUGCAAAGGAAGCACCGGCUAACUCCGUGCCAGCAGCCGCGGUAAUACGGAGGGUGCGAGCGUGAAUCGGAAUUAGUGGGCGGAAAGCGCUCGUAGGCGGUAUGUCAAGUCAAGGGUGAAAUCCCCGCGCUCAACGUGGGAACUGCCUUUGAGACUGGCAAACUGGAGUGUGUGAGAGGAUGGUGGAA